rnacentral:misc_RNA from 1 species
UCAAACUUGGUCAUUUAGAGGAAGUAAAAGUCGUAACAAGGUCUCCGUUGGUGAACCAGCGGAGGGAUCAUUACAGAGUCGUAAAACACUCCCAAACCCAUGUGAACUUACCUUUGUUGCCUCGGCAGGGCCUACCCGGAACCUACUCUUGUAGUUACCCUGUAGCCUGCCGGUGGACCAUUAAACUCUUGUUAUUUAAUAGAUAUCUGAGCGUCUUAUUUAAUAAGUCAAAACUUUCAACAACGGAUCUCUUGGUUCUGGCAUCGAUGAAGAACGCAGC